UACAGAGGUCUCAAGCGUUGUUCGGAUUCAUUGGGCGUAAAGGGUGCGUAGGUGGCGCUGUAAGUGGGGUGUGAAAUCCCGGGGCUUAACCCCGGGACUGCAUUCCAUACUGCGGUGCUUGAGGACUGGAGAGGAGACUGGAAUUCACGGUGUAGCAGUGAAAUGCGUAGAUAUCGUAAGGAAGACCAGUGGCGAAGGCGGGUCUCUGGACAGUUCC
rnacentral:rRNA from 1 species